rnacentral:rRNA from 1 species
UGGGGAAUCUUCCGCAAUGGACGAAAGUCUGACGGAGCAACGCCGCGUGAGUGAAGAAGGUUUUCGGAUCGUAAAACUCUGUCUUUUGGGGCGAACGUGAGUAUGGUGAACAAUCAUAGUCAGUGACGGUACCAAAGGAGGAAGCCACGGCUAACUACGUGCCAGCAGCCGCGGUAAUACGUAGGUGGCAAGCGUUGUCCGGAAUUAUUGGGCGUAAAGAGCGCGUAGGCGGGAUAGUCAGUCUGUUGUAAAGUGCGGGGCUCAACCCCGUGAUCGCAAUGGAAACAGCUAUUCUUGAGUGCAGGAGAGGAAAGUGGAAUUCCCAGUGUAGUGGUGAAAUGCGUAGAUAUUGGGAGGAACACCAGUGGCGAAGGCGACUUUCUGGACUGUGUCUGACGCUGAGGCGCGAAAGCCAGGGGAGCGAACGGGAUUAGAUACCCCCGGUAGUCCUGGCCGUAAACGAUGGGUACUAGGUGUGGGAGGUAUCGACCCCCUUUCCGUGCCGGAGUUAACGCAAUAAGUACCCCGCCUGGGGAGUACGGUCGCAAGACUGAAACUCAAAGGAAUUGACGGGGUCAUAGCUG